GACGAACGCUGGCGGCGUGCUUAACACAUGCAAGUCGAACGCUCCGCAAGGGGAGUGGCGCACGGGUGAGUAACGCGUGGGAAUCUACCUAUUAGUAAGGAAUAACAGUUGGAAACGACUGCUAAUACCUUAUACGCCCUACGGGGGAAAGAUUUAUCGCUAAUAGAUGAGCCCGCGUAAGAUUAGCUAGUUGGUGAGGUAAUGGCUCACCAAGGCUACGAUCUUUAGCUGGUCUGAGAGGAUGAUCAGCCACACUGGAACUGAGACACGGUCCAGACUCCUACGGGAGGCAGCAGUGGGGAAUAUUGGACAAUGGGCGAAAGCCUGAUCCAGUCAUGCCGCGUGAAUGAUGAAGGCCUUAGGGUUGUAAAGUUCUUUCGCCGCCGAGGAUAAUGACGGUAAGCGGAUAAGAAGCCCCGGCUAACUUCGUGCCAGCCGCCGCCGUAA
rnacentral:rRNA from 1 species